rnacentral:rRNA from 1 species
UACAGAGGUCUCAAGCGUUGUUCGGAUUCAUUGGGCGUAAAGGGUGCGUAGGUGGCGCUGUAAGUCGGGUGUGAAAUUUCGGAGCUUAACUCCGAAACUGCAUUCGAUACUGCGGUGCUUGAGGACUGGAGAGGAGACUGGAAUUCAUGGUGUAGCAGUAGAAUGCGUAGAGAUCAUGAGGAAGACCAGUGGCGAAGGCGGGUCUCUGGACAGUUCCUGACACUGAGGCACGAAGGCCAGGGGAGCAAACGGG